rnacentral:rRNA from 1 species
UACGUAGGUCCCGAGCGUUGUCCGGAUUUAUUGGGCGUAAAGCGAGCGCAGGUGGUUUAUUAAGUCUGGUGUAAAAGGCAGUGGCUCAACCAUUGUAUGCAUUGGAAACUGGUAGACUAGAGUGCAGGAGAGGAGAGUGGAAUCCCAUGUGUAGCGGUGAAAUGCGUAGAUAUAUGGAGGAACACCGGUGGCGAAAGCGGCUCUCUGGUCUGUAACUGACGCUGAGGUUCGAAAGCGUCGGUAGCAAACAGG